rnacentral:rRNA from 1 species
AGGGUUCGAUCAUGGCUCAGGAUGAACGCUGGCGGCGUGCUUAACACAUGCAAGUCGAACGAACCUUCGGGUUAGUGGCGGACGGGUGAGUAACGCGUGAGAAUCUGCCCUCAGGAGGGGGAUAACGGUUGGAAACGACCGCUAAUACCCCAUAUGCCUACUGGUGAAAUGAAUUUCGCCUGAGGAUGAGCUCGCGUCUGAUUAGCUAGUUGGUGAGGUAAUGGCUCACCAAGGCUUCGAUCAGUAGCUGGUCUGAGAGGAUGAUCAGCCACACUGGGACUGAGACACGGCCCAGACUCCUACGGGAGGCAGCAGUGGGGAAUUUUCCGCAAUGGGCGAAAGCCUGACGGAGCAACGCCGCGUGAGGGACGAAGGCCUCUGGGCUGUAAACCUCUUUUCUCAAGGAAGAAGAUAUGACGGUACUUGAGGAAUAAGCCACGGCUAAUUCCGUGCCAGCAGCCGCGGUAAUAC